GCUCCUAUGGCGUACGGUCACUGCGCUCGCCUUGCACGCGGGAGACCCGGGUUCGAUUCCCGGCGGGAUCA
rnacentral:tRNA from 1 species